rnacentral:rRNA from 1 species
UACGGGGGGGCAAGCGUUGUUCGGAAUUACUGGGCGUAAAGCGUGCGUAGACGGUCUUGUAAGUCGGGUGUGAAAUCCCCGGGCUCAACCUGGGAAUUGCGCCUGAAACUACUUGGCUAGAGUACUGGAGAGGGUAACGGAAUUCACGGUGUAGCAGUGAAAUGCGUAGAUAUCGUGAGGAACACCAGAGGCGAAGGCGGUUACCUGGACAGUUACUGACGCUCAGGCACGAAAGCGUGGGGAGCAAAAGGG